rnacentral:tRNA from 3 species
GCCCCGGUAGCUCAGGGGAUAGAGCGGCUGCCUUCUAAGCAGCGGGUCGUGGGUUCGAAUCCCACCUGGGGCACCA